CAUUAAAUCAGUUAUCGUUUAUUUGAUAGUACCUUACUACUUGGAUAACCGUGGUAAUUCUAGAGCUAAUACAUGCUGAAAACCCCAACUCACGGAGGGGUGUAUUUAUUAGAUUAAAAACCAAUGCCCUUUCGGGCUCAAAGGUGAUUCAUAAUAACUUCUCGGAUCGCACGGCCUUGCGCCGGCGAUGGUUCAUUCAAAUUUCUGCCCUAUCAACUUUCGAUGGCUGGGUCUUGGCCAGCCAUGGUGACAACGGGUAACGGAGGGUUAGGGCUCGACCCCGGAGAGGGAGCCUGAGAAACGGCUACCACAUCCAAGGAAGGCAGCAGGCGCGCAAAUUACCCAAUCCCGACUCGGGGAGGUAGUGACAAUAAAUACUGAUGCAGGGCUCUUUUGGGUCUUGCAAUUGGAAUGAGUACAAUUUAAAUCCCUUAACGAGGAACAAUUGGAGGGCAAGUCUGGUGCCAGCAGCCGCGGUAAUUCCAGCUCCAAUAGCGUAUAUUAAAGUUGUUGAGGUUAAAAAGCUCGUAGUUGAACCUUGGGCCUGGCUGGCCGGUCCGCCUCACCGCGUGCACUGGUCCGGCCGGGUCUUUCCCUCUGGGGAGCCGCAUGCCCUUCACUGGGCGUGCCGGGGAACCAGGACUUUUACCGUGAAUAAAUUGGAUCGCUUAAAGAAGGCCUCUGCUCGAACAGUGCAGCAUGGAAUAAUGAAAUAGGACGUGUGGCUCUAUUUUGUUGGUUUCUAGGACCGCCGUAAUGAUUAAUAGGGACAGUCGGGGGCGUCCGUAUUCAAUUGUCAGAGGUGAAAUUCUUGGAUUCAUUGAAGACGAACUACUGCGAAAGCAUUCGCCAAGGAUGUUUUCAUUAAUCAGGAACGAAAGUUAGGGGAUCGAAGACGAUCAGAUACCGUCGUAGUCUUAACCAUAAACUAUGCCGAUUAGGGAUCGGACGGUGUUAUUUUUUGAC
rnacentral:rRNA from 1 species